GUGUUGUAAGUGUUUAAGGGCGCAUGGUGGAUGCCUUGGCACUGAGAGCCGAUGAAGGACGUGGGAGGCUGCGAUAUGCCUCGGGGAGCUGUCAACCGAGCGUGGAUCCGAGGAUGUCCGAAUGGGGAAACCCGGCGCGAGUGAUGUCGUGUCACCUGCUGGUGAAUAUAUAGCCAGUUGGGAGGUAACGCGGGGAAGUGAAACAUCUCAGUACCCGUAGGAAGAGAAAACAAUUGUGAUUCCGUGAGUAGUGGCGAGCGAAAGCGGAGGAUGGCUAAACCGGAUGCAUGUGAUACCCGGCGGGGGUUGUGUGUGCGGUGUUGUGGGGCGUUUCUUCUCUCAUCCGCCGAUGAGGGCGAAAGUGAUAAACCGUGGUGUUAGGUGAAGUGGCCUGGGAUGGCCUGUCCGGAGAGGGUGAGAGCCCCGUAACCGAAAACAUCGCGGCUUUCGUGGAACUGUCCCCGAGUAGCAGCGGGCCCGUGGAAUCUGCUGUGAAUCUGCCGGGACCACCCGGUAAGCCUGAAUACUUCUCAGUGACCGAUAGCGGAUUAGUACCGUGAGGGAAUGGUGAAAAGUACCCCGGGAGGGGAGUGAAAGAGUACCUGAAACCGUGUGCCUACAAGCCGUCAGAGCCCUCCACCUCGUGGUGGGGUGAUGGCGUGCCUUUUGAAGAAUGAGCCUGCGAGUCAGGGACAUGUCGCGAGGUUAACCCGUUGAGGGGUAGCCGCAGCGAAAGCGAGUCUGAAUAGGGCGUAUCCCCGGUAGGGGUGUAGUGGUGUGUUCUGGACCCGAAGCGGAGUGAUCUACCCAUGGCCAGGGUGAAGCGACGGUAAGACGUCGUGGAGGCCCGAACCCACUUAGGUUGAAGACUGAGGGGAUGAGCUGUGGGUAGGGGUGAAAGGCCAAUCAAACUCCGUGAUAGCUGGUUCUCCCCGAAAUGCAUUUAGGUGCAGCGUUGCGUGUUUCUUGCCGGAGGUAGAGCUACUGGAUGGCCGAUGGGCCCUACUAGGUUACUGACGUCAGCCAAACUCCGAAUGCCGGUAAGU
rnacentral:rRNA from 1 species